AGCAGCCGCGGUAAUUCCAGCUCCAAUAGCGUAUAUUAAAGUUGUUGCAGUUAAAAAGCUCGUAGUUGAAUUUCGGGAUCAAUAUAUCGGUCGUGCCUUCGGUACGUACUGGUAUCGUUGAUUUCUACCUUCUGACGAACCAUGAUGUCAUUAAUUUGGUGUCAUGGGAAAUCAGGACUGUUACUUUGAAAAAAUUAGAGUGUUUAAAGCAGGCACACGCUUGAAUACAUUAGCAUGGAAUAAUGAAAUAGGACGUUUGACCCUAUUUUGUUGGUUUCUAGGAUCGACGUAAUGAUUAAUAGGGAUAGUUGGGGGCAUUAGUAUUCAAUUGUCAGAGGUGAAAUUCUUGGAUUUAUUGAAGACUAACUACUGCGAAAGCAUUUGCCAAGGAUGUUUUCAUUAAUCAAGAACGAAAGUUAGGGGAUCGAAGACGAUCAGAUACCGUCGUAGUCUUAACCAUAAACUAUGCCGACUAGGGAUCGGAUGAUGUUAAUUUUUUAAUGUA
rnacentral:rRNA from 1 species